GAUGAACGCUGGCGGCGUGCYUAACACAUGCAAGUCGAACGAAGCGCUUGUAUUUGAUUCUUCGGAUGAAGAUACUUGUGACUGAGUGGCGGACGGGUGAGUAACGCGUGGGUAACCUGCCUCAUACAGGGGGAUAACAGUUAGAAAUGGCUGCUAAUACCGCAUAAGCACACAGUGUUGCAUGACACAGUGUGAAAAACUCCGGUGGUAUGAGAUGGACCCGCGUCUGAUUAGCUAGUUGGUGGGGUAACGGCCUACCAAGGCGACGAUCAGUAGCCGACCUGAGAGGGUGACCGGCCACAUUGGGACUGAGACACGGCCCAAACUCCUACGGGAGGCAGCAGUGGGGAAUAUUGCACAAUGGGGGAAACCCUGAUGCAGCGACGCCGCGUGAGCGAAGAAGUAUUUCGGUAUGUAAAGCUCUAUCAGCAGGGAAGAACAUGACGGUACC
rnacentral:rRNA from 1 species